UUGAGCAACAGCACUAACCCCGGGCUCCCACUGCCUGCCCUAGAGUGCAGUCAGUGUCACCAGAAUUCACAGGCAACCUGUAUCGUUGAGAGUAUCUGUACAUAUCUCUACUAAACAGUAUGGAUUUCAAUCCAGUGGAGAAACUGAAUGCUUCUCCAGCUGGCAUUGCUUCACAGAACCAUGGCGUGUGGAAUCAGGGGGCCAGGCGCUUACUGCAGCGAAAAACUGUGCUAAGCAGCGCGGAUGAAUAUCUAAAGAGAUGCACUUUAAAAUGCUUUAAAGGCUGAUUGGCAGAUCUCUCUCGAUGACUGGAUGCUGAAAGAGGGAAUCAGCAAUAUGAUUCACCCCCGAGCUGAAGCUGCUGUUGCAUUGGUAGGGUGAUAGAUGUAAUAAAAAUUCUAGAACAGCUCCUAGACUAGAAUUUCUCUAAUUUGCAACAAA